rnacentral:rRNA from 1 species
CGGGACACGUGGUAUCCUGUCUGAAUAUGGGGGGACCAUCCUCCAAGGCUAAAUACUCCUGACUGACCGAUAGUGAACCAGUACCGUGAGGGAAAGGCGAAAAGAACCCCGGCGAGGGGAGUGAAAAAGAACCUGAAACCGUGUACGUACAAGCAGUGGGAGCCUCUUAAUGGGGUGACUGCGUACCUUUUGUAUAAUGGGUCAGCGACUUAUAUUCUGUAGCAAGGUUAACCGAAUAGGGGAGCCGAAGGGAAACCGAGUCUUAACUGGGCGUUAAGUUGCAGGGUAUAGACCCGAAACCCGGUGAUCUAGCCAUGGGCAGGUUGAAGGUUGGGUAACACUAACUGGAGGACCGAACCGACUAAUGUUGAAAAAUUAGCGGAUGACUUGUGGCUGGGGGUGAAAGGCCAAUCAAACCGGGAGAUAGCUGGUUCUCCCCGAAAGCUAUUUAGGUAGCGCCUCGUGAAUUCAUCUCCGGGGGUAGAGCACUGUUUCGGCAAGGGGGUCAUCCCGACUUACCAACCCGAUGCAAACUGCGAAUACCGGAGAAUGUUAUCACGGGAGACACACGGCGGGUGCUAACGUCCGUCGUGAAGAGGGAAACAACCCAGACCGCCAGCUAAGGUCCCAAAGUCAUGGUUAAGUGGGAAACGAUGUGGGAAGGCCCAGACAGCCAGGAUGUUGGCUUAGAAGCAGCCAUCAUUUAAAGAAAGCGUAAUAGCUCACUGGUCGAGUCGGCCUGCGCGGAAGAUGUAACGGGGCUAAACCAUGCACCGAAGCUGCGGCAGCGACACUAUGUGUUGUUGGGUAGGGGAGCGUUCUGUAAGCCUGCGAAGGUGUACUGUGAGGUAUGCUGGAGGUAUCAGAAGUGCGAAUGCUGACAUAAGUAACGAUAAAGCGGGUGAAAAGCCCGCUCGCCGGAAGACCAAGGGUUCCUGUCCAACGUUAAUCGGGGCAGGGUGAGUCGACCCCUAAGGCGAGGCCGAAAGGCGUAGUCGAUGGGAAACAGGUUAAUAUUCCUGUACUUGGUGUUACUGCGAAGGGGGGACGGAGAAGGCUAUGUUGGCCGGGCGACGGUUGUCCCGGUUUAAGCGUGUAGGCUGAUUUUCCAGGCAAAUCCGGAAAAUCAAGGCUGAGGCGUGAUGACGAGGCACUACGGUGCUGAAGCAACAAAUGCCCUGCUUCCAGGAAAAGCCUCUAAGCAUCAGGUAACAUCAAAUCGUACCCCAAACCGACACAGGUGGUCAGGUAGAGAAUACCAAGGCGCUUGAGAGAACUCGGGUGAAGGAACUAGGCAAAAUGGUGCCGUAACUUCGGGAGAAGGCACGCUGAUAUGUAGGUGAAGUCCCUUGCGGAUGGAGCUGAAAUCAGU